GAUAAACGCUGGCGGCGUGCCUAAUACAUGCAAGUCGAACGAAUCUUCUUCGGAAGAUGAGUGGCGAACGGGUGAGUAAUACAUAGGUAACCUGCCCCUGUGCGGGGGAUAACAGGAGGAAACUCCUGCUAAUACCGCAUAGCCAUGAGCACCGCAUGGAGCUCAUGCCAAAUAUCCUUUCGGGGAUAGCGCAGGGAUGGACCUAUGGCGCAUUAGCUGGUUGGCGGGGCAACGGCCCACCAAGGCAACGAUGCGUAGCCGGCCUGAGAGGGGGGACGGCCACAAUGGGACUGAGACACGGCCCAGACUCCUACGGGAGGCAGCAGUAGGGAAUUCUCGGCAAUGGGGGAAACCCUGACCGAGCAACGCCGCGUGAGCGAAGAAGGCCUUCGGGUCGUAAAGCUCUGUUGUAAAGGAAGAACGGCGCAUACAGGAAAUGGUAUGCGAGUGACGGUACUUUACCAGAAAGCCACGGCUAACUACGUGCCAGCAGCCGCCGUAA
rnacentral:rRNA from 1 species